UAAUACAGAGACUGCAAGCGUUGUUCGGAUUCAUUGGGCGUAAAGGGUCCGUAGGCGGUCGGUUAAGUCGGAUGUGAAAUCUCACAGCCUAACUGUGAGCGGUCAUUCGAAACUAAUCGGCUAGAGGGCUGGAGAGGAGACUGGAAUUGUCGGUGUAGCGGUGAAAUGCGUAGAGAUCGACAAGAACACCGGUGGCGAAGGCGGGUCUCUGGACAGUUCCUGACGCUGAGGGACGAAAGCUAGGGGAGCAAACGGGAUUAGAUACCCCGGUAGUCCUAGCCGUAAACGGUGCUUACUUGGUGUGGGGGGAGUCGACCCCCUCCGUGCCGAAGCUAACGCGAUAAGUAAGCCGCCUGGGAAGUACGAUCGCAAGGUUA
rnacentral:rRNA from 1 species